rnacentral:rRNA from 1 species
UACGUAGGGGGCUAGCGUUGUCCGGAUUUAUUGGGCGUAAAGAGCGUGUAGGCGGCCAGGUAGGUCUGGUGUGAAAACUCGAGGCUUAACCUCGAGAUGUCAUCGGAAACCAUCUGGCUAGAGUCCGGAAGAGGAGAGUGGAAUUCCUGGUGUAGCGGUGAAAUGCGCAGAUAUCAGGAAGAACACCAAUGGCGAAAGCAGCUCUCUGGGCCAUUACUGACGCUGAGGAGCGAAAGCGUGGGGAGCGAACAGG